GUCUAUGGCCAUACCACCUUGAACACUCCCAAUCUCAUCUGAUCUCAGAAGCUAAGCAGGGUUGGGCCUGAUUAGUACUUGGAUGGGAGGAAUCUUGUCCUGGGGCCU
ensembl:rRNA 5S_rRNA 5S ribosomal RNA